CCUACGGGGUGCAGCAGUGGGCGAAUAUUGCGCAAUGGGGUGGAACCCUGACGCAGCGACGCCGCGUGAAGGAAGAAGGCCUUCGNGUUGUAAACUUCUUUGAUGAGGGACGAAGGAAAGUGACGGUACCUCAAAAACAAGCCACGNCUAACUACGUGCCAGCCGCCGCGGUA
rnacentral:rRNA from 1 species